UAUUAUUAUGAUGAUGAUGAUGAUGAUGUUUGUAGGAAUCACGAUUUCUGUGAUUUAUGACUCAUGCUGUGUAGGGCGUCUCGUAUUUUUAUCAGAGCGAUGUCAUUUUUCACAGUUUUGGUCAUUCAGCUUUCACGGGCAGUUUCCCUUCCCAAGCUCCAGAGGUUUACAGUGAAAACUGCGAACGCUAUCUUCACAAACAGCGACAGACGGGCCAAUCGGGGCGGGGACGUCACAAACGCGCUCGAGUCAUGCGGAGCCGCCGCCACGGAGGCGCUCGGCUCCCUCCAGUGGACACGCAGCGGUACUGCAGUCGGGAGUCGCUAAAAGAUUAUUUGAUGAAUUCCUUACCGAUGCGGCUAUCUCGUGGAGAGAAAGUGGAACGGUUACGUCAUGUCCUAAACAAUCUGAUUGGAUAAAAGACAAGUCACAAAUUAAGUGACUUCUGAUUGGCGAACGCAGUUAGCGAAUCAAAAGUUAGAAAUGCGUUACCUAAUUUGUAUAGACCCUAUAGCUGUCCAAGGUGCGCACCUGUUUAAAAAUAUACAUUUAUUAUUAAUAAAACAUUUUUUUAGUACACGUGUCCACGUCAGUAUUUUAAUAAUAUUAUAUUUUCAUGCUUUUAGUGAAGAAUUGUUUUACUAUCAGUCAUAUUUUAAAACGGGCAGUUUCGAAAUAACCAAAGAAAACAACGAUUCUAAACCGGAACUUGCCUGAAGGAAUCAACUGUAGUUCUCUUUUAUAGCGGUUUAGAAUGUAUCUAAAAGUAUAUACGGGUGUUUGCAAUAAUUUAAUCACAGACGUAGAAAUAUAACCAAGAUUCACGACGACCAUUGUAUUGAUAGAGCAGUUGUUUAAAUAAAAGAGCAGCGUCAGUUUUGGAAAUGUCACAUUUUAUAUUUGUGUCAGUUUUUAGUUAAGUAAAUUGGAAAAUUUCAAGCGGUGUGUAUUUCAGUAUGCUAACGUGACGUUUUUCAGCAGGUUUCAUUUGAUUUUAUGAAGCAGAAUUAGUUAACACUCAAAUCAACCCCUCGACAGCAGUUCUACUAAAUGUCCACACGAGGGCAGCAUUGGAUAGGAAAUGAAAGCUAAAGCCUCGUCUGUCUCCCUGAAGUUCGCUACCAAUUGUAAAGAGCAGAGGACAGCUCAGCCGGAGGCGUGUGUCUGUGUGAAACGACUUUAUUUCAUGUGAUAAGUUUGUGGAAGAAGGACGCCAUGUGAGGAGGCGUUUGCUCUUGUUUUACACAGACUACGAGGGACAGCGCUCGUUAAACCAGGUCUGUGAGGAUGAGAAGGUCUCCACAGUCUGGAGUCUGGUCUCUGACAGGCUCAACAUACCUGUCAAUCAACAGGGACUCCUCUACAAAAGCAAGGCGCUGGCAGGUAGGCUGAACAGCACAGCACAGCUCACCCUUCCUCUUACCCCUCGUCUCACCCCUCCUCUCACUCCUCGCCUCACCCCGGGUCAGUGUGGCACAGCCUGCCUGCUCUUCUGAACAAACACUUCAGCCCUGCCGACGCAGUGAGAGUCUGGAGCAGCAACACGAGGAUUACGAGCGGAGGCUGCGCUUGUUGAGCCUGGAUGAUAUGGAGCGGCUGGCGACCCGCAUGCUUCACCCUGAGGCUGCGGAGUGCAUGGAGCUGUCCUUCCUGGACUGAGGAAUAUUGCUGCUGCCCUCUCCCCUCUCUCCUCCCCCUCUCCCCUCUCUCCUCCCCCUCUCCUUUCCACCUCUCCCCUCUCUCCUCCCCAGGCAGGGGAGGUGAGGAGAGAGAGGAACCUGCUACUGAGGGAGCUGCAGCUCUGAGGAGAGGGAAGAGAGAGGAACCUGCUACUGAGGGAGCUGCAACUCUGAGGAGAGAGAGGCAGGAGAGAGAGGAACCUGCUACUGAGGGAGCUGCAGCUCUGAGGAGAGGAGAGAGAGAGGAACCUGCUACUGAGGGAGCUGCAGCUCUGACGAGAGGAGAGAGAGAGGAGAGGAGAGAGAGAAACCUGCUACUGAGGGAGCUGCAGCUCUGAGGAGAGGAGAGAGAGGAACCUGCAGCUCUGAGGAGAUCGAAUCUUUCUUCAGGUGUUGUUAUUUUGAUAUAGUUUUGAGGUUGAAUAUUUCAGUCCAGGUUUGAAGCACUCACUCUUCAUUAGUGAUAUUUAAAUCCAGAAGAAACACAAAAUAAAUAAAAAUCUGUGUUGAAGUCUUUGUAUUGGGGUUGUUCAUUUUAAAUGCCAUGUGUUUACAGUUACCAGUUCUACAUUAAACAGCAGAAAUAAUGUUACUGGCUUGCCAGACCCAAGAGCCUUUUCAUUUCUCAGGCUAGCAGCCCCUGCCUGGCCUUGAAAAAAAGAAAUGCUGCUGCUGUUCUCCUCGGUUCUGCUUUUAUAAGCUGGCACCUCUGCGUUGUUAACGAGCUUUGUGAAGCAGAGACGUCUUGUGUUAAUACAAUUCCAUUAUUAUUGAUUGAAUCUGCUUUUCAAAUGCUUGGUGUUUCAAACCGGCUUUAAAAUAACCUUUAUUAUUGAAGUGUGUUCAACAAUCAUUUAAAA